ACAAACACACACAGGCCUGAGCUCCGGAUAUUUCUCCUGUUCUGGAGACAGUGAGAAGUGAAAGAGAAAUGGCUGCCCCUGCACCACUUACCGCAAAGGAGGCUCAAGGCUGGGGGGCCCCUCUGCCUUCCAGUGACGGCCCGUGCCACAUCCUAACCCACUCAGCAGGAGAACACAGCAGGUCCCUCCGACCGCAGUCGGCCUCUCCAGCCUGUCAUGCCUCUGGCCAUGAGGCGACCCGCUGGAGUGAUGGAUUCGGGUCCCUCCCACCCACAGGGCGAGGGGGUGCAUUGGUCUGCUUGGGCCGCUGGAACAAAAUGCCACAGCCUGGGCGAGUGACUGACAUUGCUUCCCCACUGCUCUGGAGGCUGGAGGCCGGAGAUCGAGGUCCCUGACACUAUUUCGGUGAUGCCGGAGCCCAGGAGGAGUCCACCAAGCCCCAGCGUGGCCAUAAGCACCUUCGCAGGACCACGGAGUCGCUGCAGGUGUUCAGCCCUGUUGAGAGUGGCAGUCGGUGUCGAUGGUCACAUCUCAGUAACUCAUCGUCACCAGCGAGUACCACAGAGCAGACACAACCGCGCUUCUCUGUAGAGCCUCCAGUCGAUGCUGAGAGCCACUGGGGCGUCUGACACCCAAGGGUGCAGAGACGUUCACUCAGACUAAGUCCAGAGACCGCGCCCUUUCUAAGGCCCUGACUCACAGCCACCCCAUGCUCAUUGUGCCGGAUGUUUCCACAGCCACAAAGACCGUACGUGAAGGUGAGAUGCAGCCUAGUGCAUAUGACUCACAGAAACAUGAAGCCACAGUGGACGCCUGGAUGAGACACAGAUCACCUUCCAAAUCUGAGCGUGGCCUUGGGACCAACCAGGCAGCCAGGAAGAAGGCAGAGACCAGAGGGAACCCAGGUGCCCUCAAUCCCAGCCUCCUCUAUCCCAGCCUCCUAAUCCCAGCUUCCUCCAUCCCAGCACCCCCACUCCCAGCCUCUGUGAUCCCAGCCUCCCCUAAAGCCCAGACUCUAUGAAUCCCAGCCUCUGAGGUGGGAACUGUUAGUAUCCCCACUCCAUGGACAAGAAAGCUGGGGCCUAGUGAGGCUAACAGUCUAUCCUGAUGGUGUGAGGGAGGGAUCGGCCUCUGAGGGCUGCUUCCACCCGUCUCACCAGUGGCUGCAGGCUCCAGGUGCCACUUUCCUUAAGUCUAUGUUCUUUCCAAGCAUCCUGCUGCUCCAGAAGCUCUGGAGCUGCCAGCACUGCGAGAAGCGAUGGCACUGCAUGCAGGGAAACGUUGUUAACAGCGGUGUCUGGAUGGACCAGCAGAGGGCACUCGCACCCACAGGGAAAAAUCGUGCGACCGGGCUGGUCCUCCGCCAGAAGACGCCGCUACACAAUGGAGUCUCGCUCUGUCGCCCAGGCUGGAGUGCAAUGGUGUGAUCUCGGCUCACUGCAAUCUCCGCCUCCCCAUGAGAGGUGAAGCCAGCUGGACUUCCUGGGGUCGAGUGGGGACUUGGAGAACUUUUCUGUCUAGCUAAAGAUUUGUAAAUGCACCAAUCAGUGCUGUGUCUAGCUAAAGUUUGUAAACGUACCAAUCAGCACUCUGUAAAAACGGGCCAAUCAGCACUCAGUAAAAUGGACCAAUCAGCACUCUGUAAGAUGGACCAAUCAGCAGGAUGUGGGCGGGGUCAAAUAAAAGAAUAAAAAGCUGGUAGCCGCGCGGUUAGCGGCAAAC
rnacentral:antisense_RNA from 1 species